rnacentral:lncRNA from 1 species
AUAAUCUUUCUUAUUAUCUAUAAGGGCCGACGAGAUCACAUAAAUGCUAGACAUGAAUCAUAAAGAACCAAUAAUGACAGAUAAUGGCAUGAACAUAUAUCACAUGGGUCGACAAGGUUGUCGUGAAGCUAUAUAUAUGGUAUGAGCGAACAACACUGCCAUAAUAGACUAUACAACAAAAACCAGCCGACAAGGCAAUCCAAAACUAUGCAUGAGCAGUAGAAAGAAAACUCCAAUACAGCUUUCAUCACAUCGCCUAACAAGAUUUCAUACAAGCUUAACUACUGAUUUGAUUAAGCGAACCAUUGACUCAACCUUUCAAAAUUGUCCCUAUUUUGAAUACAACAGUAAACUUCAAUUAUUAUUCAAACUUACGAAUUCAAUUAAACAGUACAUCAUAUCAGGCUACCUAAAAGGACAUAGUAAUAUAAGUGAAUCAUAAAUAAACUUAUACCAGGUUCUAAAUUUCUGCACUUAAACCUAUUUUUAAAACAAAUACUGCAACAGUCCAAACAAUUCGAGAUUAGUUACAACAUGCAGAUUCUAAACUAAUCAACAGAAACUAACAAAAUUACAUUGAAAAUGAAUAAACAGAUAAAAAACUUCACGAAAGAUCAGCACUGCAUUUAUUUCAUCCUCAAACCAAGAGCUACAUCAUAAUAAGGUUGGAAUUGGUACAUGGUAUUUAACAGACAGCCAAAAGAAAUAAGGGUUCAGCAACGAGCAUCAACAGAAAAUCAGCCCAGAUUCAACAAAAUGAAGUGCAGCAGUCCAGGAAAACUUUCAAACGAACAGUACCCCACACAACUUCGAACCAAGAUUUUACAAACUCAAAUUAAACCCGUUCUAAAUUCAGAUGAAUCAGGAAUCGUUUCAGAAAUUGAAAACUUCAGAAAUUAGAGAAAAAGCUCAAUUGAACAAUGAUCAAAUUUCAGUUGUUUUGAUUUUACGAUUUUAUCAGCUCUCAAAAUCUCUCUCUUAUUCUCAAAAUGUGUAUCUCUCUGUGUGUGUGUCUCCAUGUUAUCUUAUUUCCAACUUUAUUAAAAAGGCACUAAACAGGGUGUCAUUUCUACUAUCAAUACCCUUUUUCCUUUUUAUUUAACCACUACUGACUUCGUAUACACAUAAUGUUUCAAUUGUGUCUAUAAAUUUGUCCGUUAACAUCCAGCUCCCCAUUUCAUCAAACAAGUAACAGCCCACUGAAACUCCAUUCUUAAACUACAAUAAACUUAGCUGAAAAUCAAUCCAACACUUCACUGGCAUUUUUAAGAGACUAGAAGGAAUGAGCCAACAUAAUUUUUAAAAUCACUCACAACUAGAAUUAUAACAAAGAUACGGAGAAUAUUAUAAACCUUUCAAUUAACAGAAAACUUCAGCAAAUUACAAUGGAUAGGAUAGUGCAGCUAUAGGCAAAAUCCAAGUCCGCGAUCAAAUUUGAAUGGAACUAUGAACCAACUUCGAAUCGGCACCUCGACUCAACGGAUCUCAUCUAGUUUCAGCGACUUCUAAGAAACCUGACUCUGUAGUAAGAACUGAUAACUCCGGAAAUCCGAAUAUUCUGGAAUUUGGACGACCAACAUGGAGGGUUCCUGUCUAAUUUUCGGCUACAAAUGAUUGAGUUUUGGGGAAUUCUACAGCCGAAUUUGGUGGCUGUUUCGAUGGAUUUUAAUGGGCAUUUCAGUUGGUGUGUUGGUGGGGAUGUGCGCUUGGUUUCCAGCAGAGUUGGAGCUGUGGGGGUUCAAGAGAUGGGCUUGGUGAGAGGUUGUUGGUUUAUGGGGGAUGGUGGGUUGCGAAGAAGACGGUCUUGGGGGAGGAGGGGUCUCUCUGGUGUCAACGGCGCUGAUUCUUAGUGGUAGUCUAGGUUAAAUCAUUUUAGGUGGGAUCCGGGUCGGGUCUAAAAAUGGGUUACGGGUUUUGGGGCUGGUCAUGGGCUGAUGAAUGAUGUGUAUGGGAGAACUAAAU